CAAUAGCGUAUAUUUAAGUUGCUGCAGUUAAAAAGCUCGUAGUUGGAUUUCGGGUGGGAAUGGCCGGUCCGCCGUUUCGGUGUGCACUUGCUACGCCCACCUUGCUGCCGGGGACGUGCUCUUGAGUUCACGCUCGGGACACGGAGUCGGCGAGGUUACUUUGAGUAAAUUAGAGUGUUCAAAGCAGGCCUACGCUCUGAAUACAUUAGCAUGGAAUAACACGAUAGGACUCUGGCCUAUCUUGUUGGUCUGUAGGACCGGAGUAAUGAUUAAGAGGGACAGUCGGGGGCAUUCGUAUUUAAUUGUCAGAGGUGAAAUUCUCGGAUUUAUGAAAGACGAACAACUGCGAAAGCAUUUGCCAAGGAUGUUUUCAUUAA
rnacentral:rRNA from 1 species